CACAAUGCCCCCGGUAAGCAGAUCCCAGACAAGAGUUGCAUCACCUCGGUGAUCAGUGCACAGAUAUGUCUCAAUGCCCCCUGUCGACAAAGCCUAUACAAGAGUUACAUCAUCUCGGUGAUCAGUGCAGUGCUAUGUGAAAAUGCCCCUGUAGGCAGAGCCUAGACAAGAGUUACAUCACCUGGGUGAUCAGUGAAGAGAUAUGUCAUAAAUCCCACUGUAGGCAAAGCCUAGACAAGUUUUACAUCACCUCAGCGAUCAGUGCAGUGAUAGCUCCCAAUGUCCCUCUAGGCAGAGCUUAGACAAGAGUCACAUCUCCUGGGUGAUCAGUGCAGAGAUAAGUCACACUGCCCCCAUUGGCAGAGCCUAGAGAAGAGUUAUAUGACUGGGGUGAUCCGUGCAGAGUGAUAUCACAACGCCCUCUGUAGCCACAGAGUAGAAAAUAGUUACAUCACCUGGGUGAUCAGUGCAGAGAUAUGUCACAAUGCCCCUGUAGGUAGAGCAUAGAGAACAGUUGCAUCACCUGGGUGAUCAGUGCAGAAAUAUGUGACAAUGCCUCCAGUAGGCAGA
rnacentral:lncRNA from 1 species